rfam:Meleagris gallopavo isolate NT-WF06-2002-E0010 breed Aviagen turkey brand Nicholas breeding stock chromosome 1, whole genome shotgun sequence.
CAACAGGCUUUAAUGGAAGCCACCGAAGACAGGAAAGUAGUUUUACU